rnacentral:tRNA from 1 species
UGCCCGGUCGUCUAGUGGCAAGACUCCGCACUCUGGAUGCGGCAACGGUGGUUCGAAUCCAUCCCGGGCAG